UGAUGGUGAUGAGGAUAACUUUUGAGCAUGCCUUUGAAUCUCUUCCAUGCUUGGUAGAGAUUUUCUUUAUUUUUUUGUCUAUAACUCAAGAUCUCACUCCUCAAUCA